CCUACGGGAGGCAGCAGUGAGGAAUAUUGGUCAAUGGGCGGAAGCCUGAACCAGCCAAGUCGCGUGAGGGAAUAAGGCCCUACGGGUCGUAAACCUCUUUUGCCGGGGAGCAAGGGCGGGGACGUGUCCCGUCCCGGAGAGUACCCGGAGAAAAAGCAUCGGCUAACUCGGUGCCAGCAGCCGCGGUAAUACGGAGGAUGCGAGCGUUAUCCGGAUUUAUUGGGUUUAAAGGGUGCGUAGGCGGGCUUUUAAGUCAGCGGUAAAAAUUCGGGGCUCAACCCCGUCCGGCCGUUGAAACUGGGGGCCUUGAGUGGGCGAGAGGCAGGCGGAAUGCGUGGUGUAGCGGUGAAAUGCAUAGAUAUCACGCAGAACCCCGAUUGCGAAGGCAGCCUUCCGGCGCCCUACUGACGCUGAGGCACGAAAGUGCGGGGAUCGAACAGGAUUAGAUACCCCUGUAGUC
rnacentral:rRNA from 1 species